rnacentral:rRNA from 1 species
UUUGACUGGGGCGGUCUCCUCCUAAAGAGUAACGGAGGAGCACGAAGGUUGGCUAAUCCUGGUCGGACAUCAGGAGGUUAGUGCAAUGGCAUAAGCCAGCUUGACUGCGAGCGUGACGGCGCGAGCAGGUGCGAAAGCAGGUCAUAGUGAUCCGGUGGUUCUGAAUGGAAGGGCCAUCGCUCAACGGAUAAAAGGUACUCCGGGGAUAACAGGCUGAUACCGCCCAAGAGUUCAUAUCGACGGCGGUGUUUGGCACCUCGAUGUCGGCUCAUCACAUCCUGGGGCUGAAGUAGGUCCCAAGGGUAUGGCUGUUCGCCAUUUAAAGUGGUACGCGAGCUGGGUUUAGAACGUCGUGAGACAGUUCGGUCCCUAUCUGCCGUGGGCGCUGGAGAACUGAGGGGGGCUGCUCCUAGUACGAGAGGACCGGAGUGGACGCAUCACUGGUGUUCGGGUUGUCAUGCCAAUGGCACUGCCCGGUAGCUAAAUGCGGAAGAGAUAAGUGCUGAAAGCAUCUAAGCACGAAACUUGCCCCGAGAUGAGUUCUCCCUGACUCCUUGAGAGUCCUGAAGGAACGUUGAAGACGACGACGUUGAUAGGCCGGGUGUGUAAGCGCAGCGAUGCGUUGAGCUAACCGGUACUAAUGAACCGUGAGG